ensembl:lncRNA
GGGGUUUUGCUAACGGAAUAUUUUAGUUGAGAAAUUAAUUAAUUAAUUAAUAUGUUAAAUAAAAGGGCACUUUGGGCUUAGUAAGGGCACGUGACCCAAACCCCCGAUGUUCUGACCAGCUGGUUCUUACUGCAGCCUCAGCUUUCUGUUCUUGGUUGACUGACCUGCAACCUUAUUUUUUUUCUUUUUCUCUUUUGCUUCAAGGAUUAUUGUCUUGUUUUUCUGCUUACUUUUCUGCUGACUGGCUGAUUAGAAAACACAAAUCAGUAGGUGUACAGAUGUUUCAACAGUUCUUGGUCAACCCACUCAUUAGGACUCCCCCCUAUGGCUAACAAUGCCCAACACCAGAAGGGUGAAGACUAGCACAUGCCACCACCUCUUUUCCAACUGUUGCUAAUGCAGCAUUGCUCAGUAGCAUUACAGCGUGCUCGGAGGAAAGCGCAGAGACUCAGUUCCGAUAUCUUCCAUCUACCCUCCCAGCAAGGUCAAUUGUGCUCUCUCAGGGCUCCAGCAGCUGAUGGCAAGCAGCAUGAAUGGGAUUUAAACCAGUAGGGAGCAGUGUUGCAGUAAACUGUGCCAUCCCACAGUCUUGGCUCCUUCUUUCUGCUGAAAACCACUGAAGUAAGUUUCCAAAUCCAUCAAAACCCAUCCAUAACUCAAUCUUUGCCAAACCAUGACUGAAAGGAAUCUCACCACUUAAGUCCGAUCCAGCCAGACAAUAGCUCUAACUACGCUUCAGCAUCUUGAGCUUCCUAUUCACCACAGUGUGUGUGUGUGUGUAUGUGUGUGUGUCUGGAGGAGGGGGGUGCUGAGGAAACCCAAUAUUUCAGGUGAACUGAAAAGAGGCGGACUGGCUAGAGACGCCUUUGUCCUCCAAAGCUGAAGCUGGAGAUCCUGCUUUGUCCAUCAGCUGGGUGUGAAGGGCGUCUAGAGACAAAAAAGCCACCAUAGCAGUGCGCACUGAUGUUCUGGGAUCAGCCUUCCAAAGCAAUUAUACACCUGACUUUUGUGUCGCGUGCUAUUGAUGUCUUGUUUAGGGAGCACAUAGUGAUAUCCAGAGAACCCUCAUCUUGUAGUGCUGUUUCAGGAGGUGUUUCUCCCUGUGGAGCUUGAAGAAAGAGGGUGACGCCCACCCAGCAGACCAUAAAGCUUUAGAUCUAUUGAUCAGUCCCUGAACGUUAUUUCUGCGAAAGCUCUUUACAACCUAUACAUAUUGGGACGGUCUUUAUUCUUUUAAAGCUUUCAGUCUAUUCUGUCUAUUGUUAUAAUAUAAUAUAGUGUUAAUGUAAACUUCCAUGGUUUAACAUGAGACACUGAAACCGAAUCCAGAGGAAACAAAUCACAACCAAAACCAUACAGUGAAACAAAAAAAGGGUGGUGAAGCCUGUAGGAGGGUGGGAGGAUAGAUCUAUCAGAUGCUACGAGGGGUAUCAUUAGAGUAAACUAACUCUAAACAAACGGUUAAUGAAUAACCUACAUAAACGGGUGAUUCUACAUCCACAACCCCUUUUAUGUGAAUCUGCUGUGUAACCUUUAUCAGUAGUUUUGGCUGAAAUUAACAUAGAGCAUGCUUUAUACGUUAGGCCCCAUCCACAUGUAAUCACAUUCUGAAAACUGAGGAUAUAUCUGCAUUUUUCGCCCAUUUACAGCUUUGAAAAAAUAAGAGACCACAUAAAAAUUAUGAGUUUCUUUGAUUUUACCAAAUUGAAAACCUCUGGAAUAAAAUCAAGAGGAAGAUGUAUGAUCA